rnacentral:lncRNA from 1 species
UACAUGCCAAUGGUUCCAUGCCCAGAGGAAAGCCUGAGGGAAAAGUUGCAUGCUUUGAUUUCAAAUUUUCAACCUCACUCUUUUUGUUUUGUUAAAAAAGUGGGGGAAAUGAACAAAGGCAGCAACUUUUCUAGAGGCUUAAAUGUGUUACCUCGGCAAUUGAGGAAAACAUGACUUGAGAGGGGUCAUAGUGUUGGUCGUGGGGAUCUCAAGAGAAGUAUUGGAGAAUGGAGUCUUGAGAUGAUCACCAGCAGCUUUCUUGGGAGAAUUGAAGAGGUUAU